UGUAGCUCAGUGGUAGAGAGCUUAUCUUAAAUGUGAGAGGCCCUGGGUUCAAUCCCCAGUA
rfam:Fukomys damarensis contig147222, whole genome shotgun sequence.